UUCAGGAAAUUGAAUUAUGCUUAUCCUGCCUCUGCUACCUUAGACUCAGCAUUAUGCUUUAGACAUCCAGCCUUAGAGAAUGGACCCCUGCUGACAUCUGAGAUGGUGUUUGUCUACUUUGGAGACCUCCACCCUCAGCUAAGGGAAAAUUAUGCAUCUGGAUUGGAAUGUCUCCAGAAGAGCUGGACCAGCUAUUGUAGGAAGUGUCACAAGUGACUGCAUCCAUUCGGUUAAGCCUCUUGCUGUCAGAGGUUCCUGGAAGAGCUCUUCUUCAAGGUGGUUCUGCAUUGUCCAGCUUGGAGGCCAGAAUGAUCAGUCAAUUGCUAAGAUGCUGAACUCUUGCCAGAAGUAUUUAGGUUGGGAAUUGCUAUCAUUUCUCACCAAAUAGAACUUGCCAAAGGUAAAUUUGUUAUGAGGAAAUGGAGAACAGAAAAAGAUGUGGAAGAAAAAUGAAGCAUUUUCUCCUAGAACUUGUCCUGGUGAAACCUCAGAACUAAAAGGAAAUUUUGCAACAGAUUAGCAUUUCCCAAUCAUUUGGAUUGUGUUCUCAAAUUUGUUACCCAUUUCUGAAAGGUCAAAAAGAUCAUACAGAAAAAUGUUGCCUUGAGCAUUUGGAAAAGAGAGAGCUAAGAAAACAAGACAUUUUAGGAAAGGUCUAAAGCAAAAUGAUUGGGAAAAGAAUUCAGGCAACAGUGGUUGGCCAAGAUAUAAGAAAGAAUGACCAUAGAUGGAAAAACUGGGCCAACAUGCCCACUCCUGGUCUCCUCUGGAGCUAUUUGCCAUGCUUGCCCCAGAAUCUACCAGUUACCUGGCUAAUAUCCCUUUGCUCACCUUCAUGGUAUGAAAGUCUUAAGAGUUAUAGAUUAAAGUAGGGAGGUUUCUUUGGAAAAAGUUGCAUGCUGAGUUGGAAGAAAGACGGUAGAAGGAUCUUGUUCCCCGAAACCCAAGAAAAGAAGUUUUGAGAAUCUCAAUAUUUGUAUCAUGCAGUCUGCAGAGGGCAAGCAUCUGAAUCACACCUGGAAAAUCCAAGGGCAAGAGCUGUCUGACUGCCCUGGCAAUAUAUAAAAGAGAGGUGACUGUUGGGGACCACACAGCAUACUCAGAUUUUUCUGGGGCGAGAAAUGUGUGUUUGUCAAGGAGCAAAUAUUCAUCACAUGCAAGAGCGGGAGAGGUGAGGAUCUGAGUCAUUAUUUUCAUUUCUAUCAGAAGAAACAGACCUUACAGAUUUUUAUUUUGACUUUAUAUACUAUAUUUUAUAAAGCAUUUUAUAUUUUAGUUAUCUGAGUUAUCGUAGUAUAAAUGGUCUGUCAUUACUUUCUCUGGUUAUCUAAAGAGCUAGAUAGUCACUGGUAAAAAGAAGAGAAAUGAAUGAAAACAUGGUUUUUAUUGUGGUAAGAUGUGGAAAACCCCCUCUCUUCAGACUAGCAGGUUCUAAAUAUUGAAUUAUAUUUUAGUAUUACACUAAUUUUUCUAUUUUAUUUUAUUUGCUUUUGUUUGUUAGAAUAUGAGAGAGAUGGGAACUAAAUAUCUGCUAAGUUUCUGACAUUACUCACUUACUAUGAUGGGCAUAUUUUCUGCAUGGACUUCAUAUCCUCAUGUUUACUCCAUAAUUAAACACCAUUAACAAAGAAUUUAAUUGA